rnacentral:tRNA from 1 species
GGGGUCAUAGUUAAAUGGAAGAAUAUAUUGUUCGCAACAAUAGGAUGUGGGUUCGAUUCCCACUGGCUCCA